UACGUAGGGGGGCUAGCGUUGUCCGGAAUCAUUGGGCGUAAAGAGCGUGUAGGCGGUCCGGUAAGUCCGCUGUGAAAGUCGGGGGCUCAACCCUCGAAUGCCGGUGGAUACUGUCGGGCUAGAGUGCGGAAGAGGCGAGUGGAAUUCCUGGUGUAGCGGUGAAAUGCGCAGAUAUCAGGAGGAACACCUAUUGCGAAGGCAGCUCGCUGGGACGUAACUGACGCUGGAGACGCGAAAGCGUGGGGAGCGAACAGG
rnacentral:rRNA from 1 species